GCCGGAGUGGCGGAAUGGCAGACGCGCUGGACUCAAAAUCCAGUCCUCGCAAGAGGGUGCGGGUUCAAGUCCCGCCUCCGGUA
rnacentral:tRNA from 1 species